UCCAAGCCUUGAACUUUGGGAUGGUCAGA
rnacentral:piRNA from 1 species